rnacentral:lncRNA from 10 species
CCCUAUGCUACACAAAAGAGACUGCACCAGCAACACGUCCAAAUGCAUUCUCUCUUUGUAUAUGUUGGGAGAUAAUUGCUGAUCCUUCUGCACCAGAAACAUCUUCUGAGCAAAGGACACCAACAGCUUUGUUCAAAGAUGUUUGGAUAACAGACAACCUUGGAACCUAGAGGUAGUAUCUCCCCUCUGGGACAGAGGGCAGAUUUGUUUAUAAUAACAGUGAUUUCCUCCCUUCAAUUUAAAGCAACCUCUCCCAGACACGUUCUAGGGUAAUACAGCUGGACAGCCCUCCUUUUCCUCCCCUGAGAUAUUCCUGGGUAAUGAAGCCAACAUCUCUACUUGGAAGGAGAAGAGGCAGCUUUGAUGGCUAUACCUGUAGAAGAUCAAGAUCUCCCAUCUGCAUGUUACUCAGCUGUGCACGAACCCACUGUAUGUGCAACAUCCACCUAAGCCUGCUCCACACUGUCCCCAUGAGACCUGGGGGCAAAGGGGAGCAAGGCAAACAUGGAGUCCACGGAGCCUGCUGUACUCAUCAAUGGCUGUUGAUGAGAUAUCAUAUGUCAGUAUGAUUCCUGUUCAUUGGUAGGUAAUCUUUUUGUUUCCUCCCUGAAGUCUUUGAUUUCUUAUCUUUAUACUUAAUUCCCUGAAUAUCUAAAUGAGGGCUUUUAAAAUUUAUUCUGUAUAGAUCUUUCACUUUGAAUAUUUAUGUUCUCCUUUAGUUCCGGGAAAUGUUCUUGUAUUAUAUCAGUGAUAUUUUCCAGCCUCUUCUCUCUAUCUAGAAUUCUUGUUAGUCAGGAUUCUAGCUCCUAGACUCAUGUUACAUAACUUUUCUUUCCUCAUACUUUAAAAAAAUCUCAUUACAUUUUGUUCUUUAUUAUGAGAGACUAGCUUGAGUACAUUUUCUACCAACUGAGUCAUCAAGAUCCUGGAAGGAAACAGAUGGCACAUGCAAAAGGUAAGUGAGGAAAAUUUAAUAAGGCAACUAUUUGUAGAGUUACGGUCAGUGCUAAAGAACCAACAAAGAAUGGUGAAGUUCUCAUAGAUUAGCAACAGUGCAAAGCCAUUAUCACCCCUAAACCUGAAAGGGUCUGGAAAAAAAGCAAAGUUAUUGGAAAAUGAGCUGCAGCCAUGAAUGAAGGACCAUCUGGCAGGAAUUGUGGCCACAGCAGAGAAAACCAGCCAUUGCCAAAACCACACUCAGCAGAGUACUGAAGAUUCUCAUUAUUCAUGGUAGCUAUGUUCUAUCAAGUCACCACAAGCACUGAAUCAGCAAAUACUGUUCCUAGGAGAAUUACGGGGUUAGGUUCCUGUAAGCUUCUGGUCACAUUAUUGCCAAUAUUUAAUUCAUAACCUUGUUUUAUGUGUGUUUCUGUUUAAAGACAUCAUAUUUAAUGUAUGUUGUGGAUCCAUUAACAUUAAACUCAUGGCUAAUAGCCCUUAUCAUACAUGUCUGAACAAAGGUUAUCUAAUCUGUGUUUUUUUCCAUAAGGCACCACAUCACAGCUUUCUCACACUUAGGAACAGUAGACACUUGGG